rnacentral:ncRNA from 8 species
AUCCUUUUGUAGUUCAUGAGCAUGAUGAUUGGGUGUUCAUGCUGCUGCGUGACAUGUGCCUCCCUGCAAACCUUGUUACGACACCGGCACGUUACCCGUCUGACG